GCCUACGGGGCGCAGCAGUGAGGAAUAUUGGUCAAUGGUCGGGAGACUGAACCAGCCAAGCCGCGUGAGGGAUGAAGGUACAGAGUAUCGUAAACCUCUUUUGUCAGGGAACAAAGGCGGGGACGCGUCCCCGGAUGAGUGUACCUGAAGAAAAAGCAUCGGCUAACUCCGUGCCAGCAGCCGCGGUAAUACGUAGGGGGCAAGCGUUAUCCGGAUUUACUGGGUGUAAAGGGAGCGUAGACGGAAUUGCAAGUCUGAUGUGAAAAUCCGGGGCCCAACCCCGGAACUGCAUUGGAAACUGUAUU
rnacentral:rRNA from 1 species